rnacentral:lncRNA from 1 species
GUCCAUAUCUCAGAUACUAUAAGCAAUAGGGCUAGUAUAUUCGGUGUAUUGAAGGACUGUAAGGUGUACAUGUCCAACUGGCAGGUGUCAUCUGACCUUGACCUCAUUUUCAUGGUUCAGUGGUUAUAAGUUAAAUUUUGUGUUUUGGUCUGUUUUUUCUCAUACUAUAUGCAAUAGGUCUACUAUAUUUGUUGUAUGGAAUGAUUGUAAAGUGUACAUGUCUAGCGGGCAGAUGUCAUGUGACCUUGACCUCAUUUUCAUGGUUCAGUGGUCAAAGCUAAGUUUUUGAGUUUUGGUCUUUUUAUCUAAUACUAUAUGCCAUAGGUCAACUAUAUUUGGUGUAUGGAAAUAUUUUAUGAUCUUUAUGUCAGUCACGCAGG